rnacentral:rRNA from 1 species
UGGGGAUGACGUCAAAUCAUCAUGCCCCUUAUGACCUGGGCUACACACGUGCUACAAUGGGUGGUACAACGGGUCGCGAACCCGCGAGGGGGAGCCAAUCCCAAAAAGCCGCUCUCAGUUCGGAUUGCAGGCUGCAACUCGCCUGCAUGAAGCCGGAAUCGCUAGUAAUCGCGGAUCAGCAUGCCGCGGUGAAUACGUUCCCGGGCCUU